GACGAACGCUGGCGGCGUGCUUAACACAUGCAAGUCGAACGGAAAGGCCCUGCUUUUGUGGGGUGCUCGAGUGGCGAACGGGUGAGUAACACGUGAGUAACCUGCCCUUGACUUUGGGAUAACUUCAGGAAACUGGGGCUAAUACCGGAUAGGAGCUCCUGCUGCAUGGUGGGGGUUGGAAAGUUUCGGCGGUUGGGGAUGGACUCGCGGCUUAUCAGCUUGUUGGUGGGGUAGUGGCUUACCAAGGCUUUGACGGGUAGCCGGCCUGAGAGGGUGACCGGGCACAAUGGGACUGAGAUACGGCCCAGAAUGCUACGGGAGGCAGCAGUGGGGAAUAUUGCAGAAUGGGCGGAAGCCUGAUGCAGCAACGCCGCGUGCGGGAUGACGGCCUUCGGGUUGUAAACCGCUUUCGCCUGUGACGAAGAGUGAGUGACGGUAAUGGGUAAAGAAGCACCGGCUAACUACGUG
rnacentral:rRNA from 1 species